UCACUGGUGCUCAGUGCUGAUUUGCAGACAGAUUCUGAUUGUGCCUGGUUCUACCUACUUCACCGUCUGCUAGACGUAUGCUUCCAAUGCAUCGCACCAGCUGAAGAUCUCCACUGCCUGGGUCACGAUAUAGACACAGACUUAGCUACACAUCAUGGGCUCCAGGCUUAAACAAAACCCAGAGCGAACCUUCCACUGGUUCUUUGAAGCAGCUUGCCCAAUUGCAAGAGAUAAAGAUCCCAAUGUGCUAUUUCAGUUUCCAGAGAACUUUGACGAUGAGGAUUCAUCUCAGACUUUGCCCCGGUUCUGCUUCCCCUAUGACAUAAAGCGAGCUCAGGACGGCGUGGCUGUUCAGCACUUCACUGUUGUCCUGACUGACCUGGAGGGUUGCCAACGGUUUGGCUUCUGCCGCCUCAACAGCUCUUGCAAGACCUGCCUCUGCAUUCUCAGUUAUCUUCCAUGGUUCGAGGUGUUUUACAAACUCCUAAAUAAUCUGGCUGAUUACCUUACAAAAGGGCAGACCAAUGAGAUGAAAGAUCUGCUGGCAACACUGUACAAGCAGUCCAUACCAUUAACUGCUGGAUCUGUCACUCUGCAGAUGGGAGAGCAGCUAGUGGUUAGUACAGAGGGGUCCCUCCCUGAUGGACAAAGAGGCAGGCAGAAGGGGGUACCAUACUUCAUCGCUCCAGACCCCAGAGGCCUUCCUUCCAUCCCUGAGAGUAGAAAUCUGACGGAGCUUAUGGUAGCAGUGGAUGUGCGGAAUCUGCUCCAGCUCUACGCCAGCAUUCUGUUUGAGAGACGGAUCCUCAUAUUUGCGAGCAAACUGAGCACUUUGGCGGCCUGUGUCCAUGCCCUGACGGGGAUUCUCUACCCGAUGCACUGGCAACACAUCUUCAUCCCCGUCCUGCCCGCUCACCUGCUGGACUACUGCUGCGCACCAAUGCCCUACCUGAUAGGGGUCCACGCCAGUCUCAUGGAGAGAGUGAGAUGUCGUGGAUUGGAGGAAGUUGUCAUUCUCAAUGUAGAUACAAACACUUUGGAAAGCCCGUUUGAUGACCUGAAGAAGAUACCUUCCGACGUGAUGUCGGAGCUCAAAGUGUGUUUGAAACGUUAUGCAGCUUCUCCCGGCUGUGGUGUAGCCAGAGCUUUCCUCAGAGCUCAGGCUCUGCUGUUUGGGGGCUACACGAACGCACUGCAGCGAAACCAGGAAGGCACAGUGUGGUUUUGCGAGGAGCUGUUUUUAGACCACAGUUGCUCUAGCAUGAAGCAGUUCCUGCAGAGUGCAGUUCAUUUACAGUUCUUCAAACAGUUUAUCGAUUCUCGUCUGGAGCAACUGAAUGAAGGUCAAGAACCAGAUGACCUCUUUGAAGAACAAAUACACCGUGAAACAGUAACAGGGACAAAGAAAUCCUAUCAAGAGUUUGUUGGUAGUCUGAAGAAAGGAGGAGGUGCACUCAUCAUCACUAUGAGGUCCAAGGCCAACAUAACGGCCAAAGGCUUAACCAAGCCCAGAUUUAAGAACAUACUUCACACGGAGGAGCAAGGUACGGAAUGCCCCCUACAGAGAGGGGGAUCUGUCUCACAGCGCCGCAACAAGUCUGAAUUUCUGCAAUGGCGUUUGCCAAUCACACAACACUUUGGAACGCCCCGCCCCCGCCGGCCUGCACAGAAGCACAGGACUCCCAGAAGUAGUGAAAAGGCAGCGGACACACAAGUCAACUGGCAAGGGUUAGCCGCUGAGCCGUGCCCUGAGCUUGAGAGAGAUGAAAUAGGAGAGGAUGAUUCACUGCUCUGUGACCCAGAGGAGAUGGACCUCCUGGGGGAGAUCUUUGAAACUCUCAGCUCCCGGAGCACUCGUGAGCAUGGCCUGCUGUAUGGAACACGCAGCCUGGAUUUAUUUGGACCCGACAGCCAUGACUUCAUCAUGAAGGACCGCCUUGCCACGCCGAGCCAGGAAAGUCUUUCUCUGUCCAUCAGUGGCAGUGAAAGCUUGCACAGCUGGACUCUUGAAGAGACAUUACAGACCGCAGAAGAGGAAUCAGUAUCACCAAUGGAUUUGGAAUUGCUUUGCCCAAAUCCUGAAUGGAAGGAAGACAAUGAGGUGAAGCCCUUCAUGUGUACACUGGAAGAUCAAGGAAGGAUUAGAGCUAAUCCAAAUAAACAGGAAGAGGAAGAUAUUCAAGGGCAGAGAGGGAAUGAAAUUGUGGAGAAACAGAGAGAGAUAGAUGCAGGGAACAACACCGACGUAGAGACGGGUCAGGGUGAAGACGUUACAGAGAGAGGGGCAGGGAAGCAAACAGGGGACUCUGUUGAAACGCAGACAGAUGGAUCAGAGGAAAUGAUUCAGGAAGUCAAUCUGAACAAUGAGGGUACAGAGAUAGGACCUUUACAGAGAACAAGACUAGGACUGUGCACAGAGUCCGAUGUUAGCCCGGAACUUGUUGAGAACCAGAAUCAGGACAUGACCAACCAAGAGUUCAGCAUUUAUGUUGGGGAGAAGAAUGACCUGAUGAGCCCAGACUUUCAAUCUACCAGAACAACCUCCCUCGCGACAGGAAAACAACAAUCCCUAGCCGAUCAAAGUGUCGUGUUGCAGAAACAAAGCCAGACCAAGCUUUGGAGAUCGCUUAACUCAAAUAACCCACCCUGUGUGCAGGACAAUCUAAUUGAAUGCACAGAGGGGGAGCUGAAAGCAGUGAAAGUCUCUGAGCUGAAGAAAAGAUUUGAGGCAUGAUUGACAGGGAACAGACUGGCUGAAGAACAUAAAACAAAUACUUUCUUUUGCAUAAUUCACUGGAACCAAUACAGAAUGUCUUCGGAACAGGGACUUGGCUCACCGAUGCUAAAAAUGACUUAAGAACCACUUCCAUAUCCUCAACACUUGAAGACCAUAUAGGACUCUGUUUUCUCCCCGAGAUGGUUACAAAAUACAUUGUACAUCCAACAAAAUAGAUUUAUAUUUAUUUUGUAUUAAAUCAUUGUUAUGAGCUCAACAUCAAAGUGCAUCAUGGUAAACUUCAGUGCCUCUUUCUCUAGAAUCUCUCUUCAUAAAUGUUUUUAUAAAUAUAAAGAUCACACCAUGUUUUACAUAAAUAACGGUACUUCCAUUGUACAAAUAAAAAAGAAAAUACUUAAAGGUCUUUAAAUGACUUUGAAGCGACUUUUUGAAAAAUGCACAGAGGAACAGAGUAUCUGGAUCGGCCUAUUGUGUCUUGAACCCGGAGCAACAUAGAUCUAUAGUCAACAGUUGGAGACGGGACACAAGCGAGGAAGGAGGCAACAUUAGAAAGUAAUAUAGCGGAAAGUGAAACGCUUCAGCAACACCCUACAUGGAGCCCCCCGGAUUUGUCCCAACGAGAGUCAUAUCAGGCGCUCUUCUUUGGGAAUAGGAAGGGGCAGGCCCGGCCUCUCUGAUCCUGGUGCGCCGACUUGCUUCCUCUCCUCGGCGCUUGGCCUGUAUGUUCCUUCCAGCCGCCGUUUCUUCCUCAGCACACACAUAACCACUAUUAGUGCUAGGCUAAGCAGUGACGCCGCAGUAGCCGUGGGCAACCACAAGGAUGGGGUUAGGGGAAACAUCCUCCCUGUGGAAAUCAAGACAAUUGUCAACGAGCAGGUCAACAUGGUCACACAUGAAUGUCAAGCGUUACAUAUUUAUCCUACUAGAAUGAUGAAUGUCCGUUUGGACUAGACUCACCUCCAGUGGAAAGAAGCCAAAUUAAUCCUGAGUAUCUUUACAUCUGAAACAGUUCACGGAAUGAAUCCUGCGAGAGUAGACCAAUUAGCAUGUUUGGAAAUCGAGCAAAAAAUAACUUUAACACACUCUUGCUGAUCUCAAAUAAUGAAACAUAAAAGCCUAAUAAGUGAGCUGAAUUAAAAAAAAGAUUAAUAUAUUUUGAUAACUUAAAUAUAGCUGGAUCCGACUUGCGAAAUAAAUAAUUUGCCCGUCUAUAUAAGCUACACAGAAUGUAACAACAAUUAAUCAUGUUUGUUUGUUUUCGUUGUGGAAGGAUGACGCCAUUUCACUGCCCACACUCGUUAUCGAUUAUAGGCUAUAACAUAAGUUCCACUCACGGAAUGGGUUGAGAAAUCGGUCUUAGAUUCCGCUGGUUUAACUCACACAGGUCUUUAAUCGGAAUUUAGAGUUCAGCUAGACUGAAAUUCGGAUAUAUUCAUGUUGUACUCGAACACCCAAACUUGUAACACGGACGGAUGUACGGGCCUGCCGUGGAGAAUGCCACCGAUCCGGUUAAACCUGUGAGCCUAGAACGCUGCAGAAUGCCAUAGGCGGACCUGUGCUGCAAAAAAUUGACUGCGUUUUGGGAUUACACUUCAAGCAGCAAGGCAGUACCAUAGUUGUGGACCGGUCGAACACCUUCUUCCCCAUCCUGGUGCUGAAUGUGUUAAAUGCAUCGGCAUUGUUGAGCCACGACUCAUUUUCACCAGACGGUCCGACAAUGUGCUGCAAGUCUUGGAGUUACCCCUAAUCCUGUCUGCCAGACUUCCGAGUCGAAAGUCGAAGAUCUCCCAGCUUUCUUGCGGCAUUUCUCGAGGCACGCCCCCUCUUUGUCUUCAUCUUUCGAAAAUCUGAGAGUAGACCGAGAGCAGUGAUGACGCUCUCAACCAAAUGGCUGCGCCCGUGAAGAGAUUAUUAGGGGUCCAAGCCAACAGGUUGGAUCCCUAUUGUUUUUGUAGCGAUUGUUAUUUUUUUUAUUAUACUUCUCGCCCUAGAAGUGGUACCACAGCCCAAACCGUAAAUGGUGCGGACACGCCAAUAGCAUGACUAGAUCCAGGUCCGGCACCGCUACUCAGACGACAAAAUCCAGACCUGCCGGUCCCUAGGUGGCGCUAUACCAAGGAAAAUUUCGCCAGAAGGGGGCGCCAUAAACGAGGAAAUUGUAUAUCUCCUAAAAACGCGUUUGGGGAUAUAACUCCCACACCGAACCUCUCACAGUCAAAACCUUUAUAUCCACAGGUUCACGGUAGCGUUUUGAAUACAUGCUUCGCGUUGUGCCGGCGAAAUGCACAUCGCUUGGACCCCUGGAUAACUGCUUGCAGUUCUAGUUAUUUUUUGUAUUUGUACCACGUAGGUCAUUUUAAUGUCGAUUUGAACACACUUGAUUACAUUUAUUCCGGUCACCAAUUUAUACAUUGCUUGGUCUUGCUCUGCGUGCAUUACAAUGUAAAGUUGUGUUGUUUGAUUUCGGGCUGGUUUGCUUAAGAGGCUAAUGUAGCUAACAAUAAACAACGACUAGCCAAUUUCUUCCGAGUGCAACUCGGAGGGCUGGUGUCCGAGGAUUCAGGAACACACCAUAAUUCCCAUAAUGCGCGUGGCUGAGCGGUUGCCUGUCGUCCAUAAAGGCGUAGCCUAUGAUUUUUAGAACUGGAUCGGACCGAGGUGCGUUCGCUUUCACACCUCAAGCGAACCAUACCAGGGUUCGUUUGGAAGCGAACCGAGACCAGAGGUGCGUUCAAAGUCGCAAACGCUGGCGAACGAUUUGAAACAUGUUCUGUUAAGCGUGCCGAUGUCUUCAAACGUUCGCAAACAGUUCUCCGCAAGCAGACGGAUCCUGGACUGCAAGAAUUGUGCUCCCAGAUGGAGAUCAAUAUUAAUUCCUUUCCUGCACAUAGCCUAAUGCAAUAUAUAAAUCGUUUCAUAUAGCCUAUCUACAACCUUACUUCAACUGAUGUCUUGUUCAUCCUAAAAUGUGAUCUGAACGUGACAUCGCAGUAAGUGGGCACAAUUUCGGUGACGUAGACCUCUAUUCUUGAAUCGUCCGAAUUCCUUGUCUGCAGUAGGCCUACUUUCUAAGAGAUCGACUUCUAGACCUUCUUCUGUAAACUCGUCAAUUAUCGUGGAGGAGCAAUACAAUUUGAACG